GAUGAACGCUGGCGGCGUGCUUAACACAUGCAAGUCGAGCGAUGAAGUUUCCUUCGGGAAACGGAUUAGCGGCGGACGGGUGAGUAACACGUGGGUAACCUGCCUCAUAGAGUGGAAUAGCCUUCCGAAAGGGAGAUUAAUACCGCAUAAUGUUGAAAGAUGGCAUCAUCAUUCAACCAAAGGAGCAAUCCGCUAUGAGAUGGACCCGCGGCGCAUUAGCUAGUUGGUGGGGUAACGGCCUACCAAGGCGACGAUGCGUAGCCGACCUGAGAGGGUGAUCGGCCACAUUGGGACUGAGACACGGCCCAGACUCCUACGGGAGGCAGCAGUGGGGAAUAUUGCACAAUGGGGGAAACCCUGAUGCAGCAACGCCGCGUGAGUGAUGAAGGUUUUCGGAUCGUAAAGCUCUGUCUUUGGGGAAGAUAAUGACGGUACCCAAGGAGGAAGCCACGGCUAACUACGUGCCAGCAGCCGCGGUAAUACGUAGGUGGCGAGCGUUAUCCGGAUUUACUGGGCGUAAAGGGAGCGUAGGCGGAUGAUUAAGUGGGAUGUGAAAUACCCGGGCUCAACUUGGGUGCUGCAUUCCAAACUGGUUAUCUAGAGUGCAGGAGAGGAGAGUGGAAUUCCUAGUGUAGCGGUGAAAUGCGUAGAGAUUAGGAAGAACACCAGUGGCGAAGGCGACUCUCUGGACUGUAACUGACGCUGAGGCUCGAAAGCGUGGGGAGCAAACAGGAUUAGAUACCCCGGUAGUCCACGCCGUAAACGAUGAAUACUAGGUGUGGGGGUUUCAACACCUCCGUGCCGCCGCUAACGCAUUAAGUAUUCCGCCUGGGGAGUACGGUCGCAAGAUUAAAACUCAAAGGAAUUGACGGGGACCCGCACAAGUAGCGGAGCAUGUGGUUUAAUUCGAAGCAACGCGAAGAACCUUACCUACACUUGACAUCCCUUGCAUUACUCUUAAUCGAGGAAAUCCCUUCGGGGACAAGGUGACAGGUGGUGCAUGGUUGUCGUCAGCUCGUGUCGUGAGAUGUUGGGUUAAGUCCCGCAACGAGCGCAACCCUUGUCGUUAGUUACUACCAUUAAGUUGAGGACUCUAGUGAGACUGCCUGGGUUAACCAGGAGGAAGGUGGGGAUGACGUCAAAUCAUUAUGCCCCUUAUGUGUAGGGCUACACACGUGCUACAAUGGCUGGUACAGAGAGAUGCAAUACCGUGAGGUGGAGCCAAACUUUAAAACCAGUCUCAGUUCGGAUUGUAGGCUGAAACUCGCCUACAUGAAGCUGGAGUUACUAGUAAUCGCGAAUCAGAAUGUCGCGGUGAAUACGUUCCCGGGUCU
rnacentral:rRNA from 1 species